CCUACGGGAGGCAGCAGUGGGGAAUCUUGCACAAUGGAGGAAACUCUGAUGCAGCGAUGCCGCGUGAGUGAAGAAGGCCUUUGGGUUGUAAAGCUCUUUUGUAGGGGAAGAUAAUGACUGUACCCUAAGAAUAAGGUCCGGCUAACUUCGUGCCAGCAGCCGCGGUAAUACGAAGGGACCUAGCGUAGUUCGGAAUUACUGGGCGUAAAGCGCGCGUAGGCCGUUGAGUUAGUUAAUUGUGAAAUCCCAAAGCUUAACUUUGGAACUGCAAUUAAAACUGCUCGACUAGAGUUUGAUAGAGGAAAGCGGAAUACAUAGUGUAGAGGUGAAAUUCGGUAGAUAUUAUGUAGAACACCAGUUAGCGAAGGCGGCUUUCUGGAAUCAACACUGACGCUGAGGCGCGAAAGUAUGGGUAGCAAAGAGGAUUAGAUACCCUCGUAGUCCGUACCAUAAACGAUGAUUGCUAGAUGUUGGAAACUUUAUUUCAGUAUCGCAGCUAACGCAUUAAGCAAUCCGCCUGGGGAGUACGACCGCAAGGUUAAAACUUAAAGUAGUAUGACGNGNGAGAGACGACGACGACGACGAGAGGAG
rnacentral:rRNA from 1 species